UGUGGCUCAGUGGUAGAGCUCCCGCCUUGCACGUGUGAGGCUUGGGUUUAAUCCCCAGCA
rnacentral:tRNA from 1 species